rnacentral:rRNA from 1 species
CCCGUCACACCACGAGAGUUUGUAACACCCGAAGUCGGUGGGGUAACCUUUAUGGAGCCAGCCGCCUAAGGUGGGACAGAUGAUUGGGGUGAAGUCGUAACAAGGUAGCCGUAUCGGAAGGUGCGGCUGGAUCACCUCCUUUCUAUGGAGA